UCUUUGAUGGUCUAACGGUUAUGAUUUCCGCUUGUCAUUGGGUAUUCGCGGGAGACCGGGGUUCGACUCCCCGUCAGAGAG
rnacentral:tRNA from 1 species